CUUGUCUUCGGAAACCCAUUGUUGAUUCAGAUUCAGUUUGAAACCUUUAAUUCAUCUUGCAAAUUCAGUGCUUGUUUCCUCGUUCUUGCUAGUUCUUCGAUUGCUUGCAGGACGGGAGCCCUAGGGGCUGGUUGUCGCGCUCCACAAGAUCGUGACGGCUGUUGGACGUGGUGUAUCGGUUGCUAAGGCGCGGUCUUGAGGGCUGUAGUCGGGCC
rnacentral:lncRNA from 1 species